rnacentral:rRNA from 1 species
UACGUAGGGUGCAGGCGUUAAUCGGAAUUACUGGGCGUAAAGCGUGCGCAGGCGGUUUGCUAAGACAGGUGUGAAAUCCCCGGGCUUAACCUGGGAACUGCGCUUGUAACUGGCAAGCUGGAGUGUGGCAGAGGGGGGUGGAAUUCCACGUGUAGCAGUGAAAUGCGUAGAUAUCAAGUGGAACACCAGUGGCGAAGGCGAGUCCCUGGACAAUACCUGACACUGAGGCACGAAAGCUAGGGGAGCAAACAGG